rnacentral:rRNA from 1 species
GCUUAACGCGAAGAACCUUACCCAGGCUUGACAUCCCACUAAGGACUCCGAAAGGAGACUGUGUCUUCGGACCGUGGUGACAGGUGUUGCAUGGCCGUCGUCAGCUCGUGUCGUGAGAUGUUUGGUUAAGUCCAUCAACGAGCGCAACCCCUUAUAGUUAGUUGUAUUUUUCUAGCCAGACCGCCUCGGUAACGGGGAGGAAGGAGGGGAUGAUGUCAGGUCAGUAUUGCCCUUACGCCUGGGGCUACAAACACGCUACAAUGGCCGGUACAAAGGGCAGCCAACCCGCGAGGGGAGCAAAUCCCAUCAAAACCGGUCCCAGUUCGGAUAGCAGGCUGAAAUUCGCCUGCUUGAAGUCGGAACCGCUAGUAACGGUGAGUCAGCUAUAUUACCGUGAAUACGUUCCCGGGUCUUGUACACACCG